ACAGUCUGAAUAUCUGUUAGCUGCCCCUUUUGCCGAUAUCAAAAUUUUAAUAAAACACAUCUUAUUCUGACGAUAGCUCAGGGCUGAAAUUGUGACUCCAAUUGACAGGCCUCCUACAAAGAUGACAUACAGAUGAAGAACUGAUUGCUUAUUAAGAAGCAGAAGAUGGUUAUGCACGUUCAGAAUCACUGUUACAAGUUGCCAA